AAUCAUUACUUCAUUUAAUAAUAAAACCUUAUAUUAUACUCAUAUAUAUUUUUAUGUGUCAAUUCAUAGUUGUGUGUAUAUAUAUAUACACAUGACAUGAGAAAGGCACAUUUGUGCUAUUUCUGAACUCUUUUUUACCUACCCUUGCCUGGCCUUCUCCUCCACUGAAGAGUUCACUUCCCUCUAGCUAAGCUAAUCGUGUUUCAAAGAUGGCCAGGAUUGCCUUUGGUCGCUUUGAUGAUUCUUUUAGUUUAGGCUCUUUUAAAGCCUAUCUUGCUGAAUUUAUCUCAACCUUGCUCUUUGUUUUUGCUGGUGUUGGUUCAGCUAUUGCUUACAGUCAGUUCUAUAUCUCGAACUAAUCUACCUAUUUGCAUUAUCUAAUUAAUUACCCAUUUUUUAGUUACUAAUUCUUGAUAUUAUUAGUCUUGCAACGUAUAAUUAUAUAGGGUUUUUCUUCUCUUUGUUACAGAUAAAUUGACAAACAAUGCAGCUCUUGAUCCCGCUGGUCUAGUAGCCAUUGCUAUUUGCCAUGGAUUUGCUCUCUUUGUUGCAGUUUCCGUUGGAGCCAACAUCUCCGGUGGCCAUGUUAACCCUGCUGUUACCUUUGGCUUGGCUCUUGGUGGCCAAAUCACCAUUCUCACUGGCAUCUUCUACUGGAUUGCCCAGCUUCUUGGCUCCAUUGUUGCCUGCUUCCUUCUCAAAUUUGUCACUGGAGACUUGGUAAGUUCCAUGUCCAUGAACGCCAUCGUUUAUACAAGUAAUCCAUGACUUCUAUAUUCUCGUAAUAUCAAGAUUCUUGUGCAAGUAAAACCAAGUGUAGUUUUAAGUUUUAACAUUUUCUUUCCUAAUUCGACCGCAAACAUGAUAAUACAAUAAUUUCUGCCAUGGGUUGACAAUGCUUUUAACAUUUUAUAAUAUGCUUAGCUUAAUGAGGCGAGUCAGUCUUUUUCCAUUCCCCAAUUUUUUUAAUCAGAGUUUUAGUAUUAAAGUUGGACAUAAAAGACACUAAAUUUUUUAAUCGGAUUUUUAAUAUUAAAGGGAGAACUCAUGUUCCAUAAAGUGGGAGAGACAACCAUGAAUCCUAAAGAGUUUAGUUUAGAUCAUAAAAUAGACAAAAAAAAAUACCCGAUCAAUAAAAAAAAUUAAUUUUGACAUCAUACUUUAUCUUUAAUUUUUUUUUUUAAAUAUGAAUGAUGAAUGCUUAAUAAAAUACAUAAAAAUUGCCCCAUAGUACUAUUUUCCCUAAUACUUAGAAAAAGAAUAAAGUUAAUAUAUUUUUAAAUCAUAUCACUACUUUUUUUGUGCAAUCAACUACGGGUUAAACAAGCUUAAUUAAUUACCUUAGGAUCAUUUGUACGUAAUUAUCAUUAAUUGACUAUGUAAAGUUGUAAACUUUUUUUUUUCUUCUUUUCAGCCUAUCCCCACCCACAGCGUUGCCGCCGGAGUUGGAGCCAUCGAAGGAGUGGUUAUGGAGAUUGUAAUCACAUUUGCUUUGGU
rnacentral:misc_RNA from 1 species